UGCAGCCAAGCCUGUGCGAUGAGGU
rnacentral:piRNA from 1 species